UCCCUGGUGGUCCAGUGGCUAAGAUGCCACACUCCCAAUGCAGGGAGCCCAGGUUCGAUCCCUAGUCAGGGAA
rnacentral:tRNA from 1 species